ACUCAAAUGAAUAGACGGGGGCCCGCACAAGCGGUGGAGCAUGUGGAUUAAUACGUCACUAACCGUAGAACCUUACCCAGGCUUGACAUCCACGGAACCGGCCCGAAAAGGCGGGGUGCCCCGCAAGGGGAGCCGUGAGACAGGUGUUGCAUGGCUGUCGUCAGCUCGUGUCGUGAGAUGUUGGGUUAAGUCCCGCAACGAGCGCAACCCUCACCGUAUGUUGCCAGCGUCAAGUCGGGCACUCUUACGGAACUGCCCGGGUAACCGGGAGGAAGGUGAGGACGACGUCAAGUCAGCAUGGCCCUUACGCCUGGGGCUUCACACAUGCUACAAUGGCCGGUACAAAGGGUUCCGAACUCGCGAGAGGGGGGCAAUCCCAAAAAGCCGGUCUCAGUUCGGAUCGCAGGCUGCAACUCGCCUGCGUGAAGGUGGAAUCGCUAGUAAUUGCCGGUCAGCUAAACGGCAGUGAAUACGUUCCCGGGCCUUGCACACACCGCCCGU
rnacentral:rRNA from 1 species